UGUCAGGGAGUAAGGCUAGGCAUGGU
rnacentral:piRNA from 1 species